rnacentral:rRNA from 1 species
UACGUAGGUGGCGAGCGUUGUCCGGAUUUACUGGGUGUAAAGGGCGCGUAGGCGGGGCGGCAAGUCCGAUGUGAAAUCCCGCGGCUUAACUGCGGAACUGCAUCGGAAACUGCCGUCCUUGAGUAUCAGAGGGGAAAGCGGAAUUCCUAGUGUAGCGGUGAAAUGCGUAGAUAUUAGGAGGAACACCGGUGGCGAAGGCGGCUUUCUGGCUGAAAACUGACGCUGAUGCGCGAAAGCGUGGGGAGCAAACAGGAUUAGAUACCCUGGUAGUCCACGCCGUAAACGAUGGAUACUAGGUGUGGGAGGUAUCGACCCCUUCCGUGCCGUCGUUAACACAAUAAGUAUCCCACCUGGGGAGUACGGCCGCAAGGCUGAAACUCAAAGGAAUUGACGGGGGCCCGCACAAGCAGUGGAGUAUGUGGUUUAAUUCGAUGCAACGCGAAGAACCUUACCGGGGCUUGACAUCCCGCGAAUGACCGAGAGAUCGGUAGUUCCCUUUUGGGACGCGGAGACAGGUGGUGCAUGGUU